rnacentral:rRNA from 1 species
AUGCGGCCAUGCAGACUCUACAAGAGGCAUCUCGCCGAGGUGUGCCAGUACAGAAAGAUGGCCAUGUCGGUGGGGCGUAUGAUGCUUGUUUCAGAUGAUCACAACAAGUUGCUUGCUCUUAUCAGAGCUGAAAAAAGAAAUGUCCGUGGCACUUUGACUUUGAUCGCUUUCUCGACGAGUCCACGCCGGCCACGGCGCACCCUCUGGAGCAAGUGUCGCCACCGAACCUUCUCUGUUUCUGUUGAAAUGGUAGACGGGGUCCUUUUUUAUUUUUCUGGUGUUGCUGUAUUGUUCAAGAAAAAACCACUACCAGUUAUUCUUGGUUACGACUUCUUGGAGAUUCAGUUCUGUUAA